UUGGGUUAAGUUAAACUAGUGUGGUUAACAUUAAUGAGCAUUUUCAAAAUUAACAUUAAUGAGAAGAGAGGAAAAAUUGAGAUUGUUCAAGUUUCCAGAUUCUGAAGAGGAAAAUAGAGAGGCAGUGUUGAAAGGAGUUCACUGAUUUAGGGUUUUUCAUAUUCACCAACGGCGGACGGCGGGGUUGUCGGCUAGGCCGUUCUUCAUCGUCGAGGGUGGCGUCUUCAUAGUCAACGUGGUAAUGGAAAGUGUAAGGGAGGAAGAAGACCAUAUCUAUUUAGCUGAUGUGUAUGCUGCUGGUUAAGAUAAUAUAUUGACAUUGUUAGAAAGGCACUUGUUUUUGGCCUUCAAAAGGAAAUAUUGUAUUACCAACAAGUCUCAGCACAGUUGGGACUUCUAAAUUUUGAUCGUACGUAUAUCACAAUAACAUUGUCACUAUAAGUUAAUUUAAUGAAACAACAGCUACAUAAGCAUGCAGCUAAUCUGUUUAUUUUUCAGUCCAAACUUUGGCCACUAGUCAAACAAUACCAUCAUGAUUGGCCUUUAGCUGUACAAUGUUGAUAUGUGAAAUAGAACUAAAUUCAAGCAUAGAAUGUGGAGAGACAAAAAGUAUUUCAUGCUUCAAAACUCUUUGGCUCUUUGCCUCAACCGAUCAAGUUCUAUCUCAAUCUCAAAAUCUUGAAAUGGUAUUCCCGUGUUGGUGCUAGAAAGGCACUUGUUGUGUGUUUCUAACUCCAAGGUAUGUGUAUGCCAAAUUUUGAUGCUUCAAACAUGGUUAAAUGCCCUUUGGUUGUCAUUUUUUAGUUAUCUAAUUUUAUAUGGUACCCCUUUAAAAGAUUUCAAAUACUCCUUUCAGGACUGGAUCAAGGAACAACAGGCAUGUAUGUCCAAUAAAGUGUAAGCAAAUUGUGGGGAAGGGAAUUUCUACUGAGCAAUAUAUAUGGAAGCAUGGAAUUGGUGAGGAUAUUGGUAUAACUCUGGUUUGCUGUCAAAAGGAAUGAUGAAGGGCUCUAUUGGUUGCUGCACGUUGUAAUUUUGGGGCUGCUGGUAUAUGUCUCCUAAGGGGUUUAAUGAAUUGUUUUGCAAACUGCUUCUUGUGUUCUUUCUUUUGAUCUUUUGAUUAUUUUCUUGGCAGCGUAAGUGGUACUUUAAUGUGCUCUGUUUUGCGGCUGUUUUUUUUCAUGUACUUGGGUCUAGCACCCGUUGUGCUAGUAUUAAUACAUUUUGGCUUACCCAAAAAAAUAUGGUACCCCUUUUGCGCAUAGGAAUUCAGCGGGUUGGCUAGAUGAGUAGUUGCAGCACCUUGUGUUAAGUUUUCACUUCUGCAAUAAUAUUGUCACAUGCUCUACAUAGCAAUUAGUUUUCACUUCAUUGUAA